rfam:Dehalococcoidia bacterium SM23_28_1 WORSMTZ_79298, whole genome shotgun sequence.
CCUGAUGAGGGUUUGAUCCUGGCUCAGGACGAACGCUGGCGGCGUGCCUUACGCAUGCAAGUCGAGCGGGGUACA